AAACCAGAUUUCUUUGGAUGCGAUUAUAUUUUUUUCUUUUUCUUUUUCCCCUUUCUACUUUUGCGGUGUUUUCUUUGAAUUUUGAAAGAUGAAGGACGAAACAGGUGAUGGAGAGAACGAUAAAUUGCAGGAUAUUAAGCUUUGGGGAGUUUUUCUCUUCGGUUUGAUUGGCGCCACCGCUUCAAGAAUCGCAAUAUUUGCACAAAUCAUAGUGAAAUUGAUCUUCCAUGCUGUACUCUUGAACUCUUUGCAGCUGUCCCGGUCGCAAUCAUCGUGGAAAGGAGGGAGUGGCAGUUCUUUCCGAUCAGCAUUUCAAGAGGAAGCAUGGAAGAGGUACAACAAACGGUUGCGAGAGGAGUACGAGGAGGAGAUGGAGAGGGUGGAACGAAUAAAGCAUAUGCAGAGUGUGUUUAGCAGAGAAAGAAAUAAGUAUAAAAGAAGCUAUGAGCAGUGGAGGGAAAAUGGUCCUGGUGCAUAUCAUCAACAUUUCCAGAGAGAUGAUUGGUAUUGGAAGGCCGACGCAUCCUUCAGAGACCAGAGGACUAAUUAUCGAGAUAUUCCGAGGGAGAGUGCAUAUUAUUCAUUAUCACAUCACUACUCAGUUCUGGGUCUUGACAGGUUUAGAACAACACCAUAUACAGAUGCCGAGAUCAAGGUAGCAUUUAGGAUGAAGGCGAAGCAGUAUCACCCUGAUCAAAACCAGGAUAAUAGAGUGCCAAGUUAGCAGUCUAUUAAACCACGUAGUUCAAGGUGAAGAGUCCAGUUGCUAAAAAAAGGAUGCAGUUUCAAUGUUCCAAUCUCUCUUCUUCAAAUAAAGUAGCAGUGAAGAAGAGGAGCAUCAAUGAUCGUUCGCAAAUUUCAGGUUUUUCAAGUUCAACUCCUCUCUCACUUUUGUUCCUCCCGACCAACAGAAGAUUUAUGUUCCUGAAGAUGAUACCCCAGUCGCCGCUGACUCCGAUCUCCUCGCCAUUUCCAACAAACUCCGACUAGUCUCCAUUGAAGACGAACCUCAGCCCCAACCAAACACUGAACAAAUGAUGAAAAUAAAAUUUGAUGGUUAGGAUUUUAUAAUUGAAAAUAGACCAAUUUGAGUUUUUUUAAAUAAAUUUUAGAUACUAAUUUGAGUUGAAGUCAUUGUUUGUCUAUAUUAACGUGCUGUUAGCACACAUAAAAAAUUUUAAUGCGAUUGGUGAGUUUUGGACUAAGGUGAAUUUACGUUUCUUGAGUGAGAGAUCAAUUUGAUUAUUUUACAAAGUCAGAGAUUUAAUUAAUGCAAAUUGAAAAUUUCAAAGAUUAUUUACGCCAUUAUUUCAAAAAAAAUACCACCAUUUAAUUAGAUUUGUGUAUUUAAAUAAUUUUUUUAGAUAGCGUUUGAAAAAAAAAAUCAGAGAUUGAGAGAAUGAGACUGAGAGACAAAGACCGAAAUAAAUUUUAGUAUUGUGUUUGGUGUAAAGU